AUUGAACGCUGGCGGCAUGCCUUACACAUGCAAGUCGAACGGCAGCACGGGGGCAACCCUGGUGGCGAGUGGCGAACGGGUGAGUAAUGCAUCGGAACGUGCCCAGUAGUGGGGGAUAACUAGUCGAAAGAUUAGCUAAUACCGCAUACGACCUAUGGGUGAAAGCGGGGGAUUCGCAAGAACCUCGCGCUAUCGGAGCGGCCGAUGUCUGAUUAGCUAGUUGGCGGGGUAAAAGCCCACCAAGGCUUCGAUCAGUAGCUGGUCUGAGAGGACGACCAGCCACACUGGGACUGAGACACGGCCCAGACUCCUACGGGAGGCAGCAGUGGGGAAUUUUGGACAAUGGGCGCAAGCCUGAUCCAGCCAUGCCGCGUGCGGGAAGAA
rnacentral:rRNA from 1 species